rnacentral:rRNA from 1 species
GACGAACGCUGGCGGCGUGCCUAAUACAUGCAAGUUAAGCGCUGAAGGUUGGUACUUGUACCAACUGGAUGAGCAGCGAACGGGUGAGUAACGCGUGGGGAAUCUGCCUUUGAGCGGGGGACAACAUUUGGAAACGAAUGCUAAUACCGCAUAAAAACUUUAAACACAAGUUUUAAGUUUGAAAGAUGCAAUUGCAUCACUCAAAGAUGAUCCCGCGUUGUAUUAGCUAGUUGGUGAGGUAAAGGCUCACCAAGGCGAUGAUACAUAGCCGACCUGAGAGGGUGAUCGGCCACAUUGGGACUGAGACACGGCCCAAACUCCUACGGGAGGCAGCAGUAGGGAAUCUUCGGCAAUGGACGAAAGUCUGACCGAGCAACGCCGCGGGAGUGAAGAAGGUUGUCGGAUCGUAAAACUCUGUUGGUAGAGAAGAACGUUGGUGAGAGUGGAAAGCUCAUCAAGUGACGGUAACUACCCAGAAAGGGACGGCUAACUACGUG